rnacentral:lncRNA from 1 species
GCGCUCGCCUCGGGCACCCGGGGCUGCAGAGCGCGGCCGGCCGCGCGGUCCCGGAUCGCCGGGUCUGCCUGCCCUCUCACGGGGCCUUGCGGCCAGCAAUCGGAAGGUGCUGGGACUUGAGCGCCACUCGCCGCGCGCUCUGGUUAACAAGGGAGCCCCGGCGGGGAUGCGGGGCCGGAGGUGCCUGCCCGGUGGCCUGCGCCGGGCGAGCCCCUCUCCGCGGGCACCUCGGGGCCGCUCCACGGGUCGCACGUUCCGGGGCUUAGGCUUUCGGGGUCGCAGGCAGAUCCGGACUCCGCAGGGAACGGUUCCUUUCGUGAUAUGCGGGGCACUGUGGUCCACGAACGUCGGAUCCCCGGGAUCGCUCUCCGCGGCGCCCGGUGCGGGGCCGGCGUGGACAGAACAGGAGAGCCGGGCUUUGGCGGGAAGCGCGCGCACCUCCGCCCGGUCGCUUUGUACCUGGAGGCGGCUGCCCGGAGUUGGUGUUAACUUUCCUGCGCCCGCGGCGUCCCGGGCGUGCCCGGCAGGGGGCGCUGAGAGCGAGCGCUCGGAGCCCAGCGGCGCCGCUGCGCGCGGGGACCCGGGCGAGGUGCGGGUCCGCCGCGGGGGGUCGUGCGGUGACUUCCUGUGGGCGGUGCAGGUGGAGGGCGGAGGAGCCCGUGUGCUCCCCGUGGAGACCUGUUGGCCUUGCUGGAAGAGGAAGGAUGAUUUCUUCACUGUGUCUCAAGAGAAUGAAGCAAAGUUACAGUGCAGAGGCCGUUAAAACUUACUGACAAGGAGACUAAGACGAGGAUGAGGACUUUCUUGCAAGCUUUUCCAGAAGUUUGAGCAGCUUAUGGGCUUGUGAAGCUCCCAUCCAUGGAUUUGCUGUAUGAAGUUUUCCUUCAGAUUUGCUUUAACCUCCUCCUGGGGAGAGCGACUGUUAAAACCAGCAGACCUUUAUGUUGUGUACUAGUUGCUCAAAAUAGAUGCCAUCUCCUUGGGAACCGUGUCAGAUGGGCCUGGUGUCAGAGAGGAUGGCUUAUUUGAGCAAGUAUGUAGUUUUAAUGAAUUUGGUGAUUAUUUUUAAUGAUUCUGGAUUUCCUCUUUGGGGUCUUAAAGGCAUUACAGUUGAGGCUUUGUCCCUGAUUCAAGAAGAGGAAGAGCUUGCUGCUAAGUGUCCAGCCAGAUAGAAAGACUCUCGUUAGGUAAACAAGCGAUCAUGAGCUUCAGAGUCCUCAAAGAUUCUGAGGACAAGGGUUUGCGUUACAGAUCAUACGGUGUGCAAGACAGAACAAAUUAAUAAUUCUUAGUAAACCCCAGUCAAGUAAUCUCAUUACAGUAGUGCAUGUAAAACUAUUAAAGAAAAGCAUCCCUGCAGUCUGCAUUAAAUUCUCUAUGAUUCUUGAUUCUAAAAUUAUACCAAAUUUGUGUUUAAAAUGCUUCUGAAAUUGUUGCUAUAGUUACCUAGACAAAUUGCUUAGGAUAUAAUUGUAAUACCAAGGUGAAGAGUUUUUAUGUUUAGCAUUCAAUAAUGCUUAAAGUGUAAAUUACAGUGUCUAGCAAAUGUAGUUGCAACAAAAUGUAAAGUGUCUAAUAAGGAGCCUUGUACAAGUCCACUCACCUGUAUGUGUUUGCAGGUUUUUAUAAAGUUACCUAUUUUUUUAUGGAUCCCAAACUGAGUGCAUAUAAAUAUUUUAAGUUGUUUAUAUGGUUUUGAGGAAUGUUGCAGACAAAAUAGUCAUUUUCAAAUAUGUUCCCAGCAACUUCUCUAAAUUGAGAUGCAGACGUCUGUUGAAAAUGACUGGUUUUUGUCACUGCCCUGCCCAGCAGAAGUGAUCUGUUCUAGGGAGUGGGCAAGCUGUGGACUGGUCAUAUCACCAGAGAUCAGUUCAGCAGGUGAUGGCCAGUUCUUUGGAAAGCAGUUCACACAAACAGCCAUUGUUAUACUUUACGUAUCAUUUAUUUUACUGAUGAACUUUCCAGCCACUGGUCAACCAGAUGCACAAAAGCAAUUUCUGAUAGCAAGAAAGGAAGAAAAAGAUUAAGCUAGAGCUGCCUCAAAAUUUGUUUUAUUUAAAGUUUAAGCCAAACAGAGCAAACCAAGGGGAAAAAAACCCUUGAUACAAGAGAAGAUACUUGAUAAUGAGUAAUUUAUUUUGACAUACAGGUACUGACACAAUGUUUGCCAUCUGGGAGGUUCUAGCACUCAGGAAACCUGGCUGUCCAUUUCAUGGGGUAUUUUGACGCCAGGCAACUUCAAAGACCAUUUGUAUUUCACCUGGGGCAUGGCAUUUAAAGUAGGAUUAGUGGAACAGUGGGCUCAAAAAAACCACAUUUUCCCAAAGGAAUUGCUGUCAUCUUUCUUUUUCUUCUUCUUUUUUUAUCCAAGAUUAAUAGUUGUUUGACAAGAGCAAAGACGAGCGUAUUUUAUUUCCCUCUGCGAAGCUGUGAAAUGUACAGCCACGUACUUAGUGCUGAACAUGGAAAAGUAAAAUUAUUCCACUUUUACCCUUUCUCCACAUGGACUGGAAUUGCCUUUCUGAUUAACAAUGAAAAAAUAAAC